UACGUAGGGCGCGAGCGUUGUCCGGAAUUAUUGGGCGUAAAGAGCUCGUAGGCGGCCUGUUACGUCUGCUGUGAAAUCCCGGGGCUUAACCCCGGGCGUGCAGUGGAUACGGGCAGGCUGGAGGCAGGCAGGGGAGAACGGAAUUCCCGGUGUAGCGGUGAAAUGCGCAGAUAUCGGGAGGAACACCGGUGGUGUAGACGGCUAUCUGGACCGUAACUGACGCUGAGGCACGAAAGCGUGGGUAGCAAACAGG
rnacentral:rRNA from 1 species